rnacentral:rRNA from 1 species
CCUACGGGAGGCAGCAGUGAGGAAUAUUGGUCAAUGGGCGCGAGCCUGAACCAGCCAAGUAGCGUGAAGGAUGACUGCCCUACGGGUUGUAAACUUCUUUUAUAAAGGAAUAAAGUGAGGCACGUGUGCCUUUUUGCAUGUACUUUAUGAAUAAGGAUCGGCUAACUCCGUGCCAACAGCCGCGGUAAUACGGAGGAUCCGAGCGUUAUCCGGAUUUAUUGGGUUUAAAGGGAGCGUAGAUGGGUUGUUAAGUCAGUUGGGAAAGUUUGCGGCUCAACCGUAAAAUUGCAAUUGAUACUGGCAGUCUUGAGUACAGUUGAGGUAGGCGGAAUUCGUGGUGUAGCGGUGAAAUGCUUAGAUAUCACGAAGAACCCCGAUUGCGAAGGCAGCUUACUAAACUGUGACUGACAUUGAUGCUCGAAAGUGUGGGUAUCAAACAGGAUUAGAUACCCCAGUAGUC